CACGUAGGGUGCGAGCGUUGUCCGGAAUUAUUGGGCGUAAAGAGCUCGUAGGCGGUCUGUCGCGUCGGCUGUGAAAACCCGGGGCUCAACCCCGGGCCUGCAGUCGAUACGGGCAGACUAGAGUGCGGUAGGGGGAGACUGGAAUUCCUGGUGUAGCGGUGAAAUGCGCAGAUAUCAGGAGGAACACCGGUGGCGAAGGCGGGUCUCUGGGCCGUAACUGACGCUGAGGAGCGAAAAGCGUGGGGAGCGAACAGG
rnacentral:rRNA from 1 species